rnacentral:rRNA from 1 species
GUGGGGGAUAUUGCACAAUGGGGGAAACCCUGAUGCAGCGACGCCGCGUGAAGGAAGACGUACUUCGGUAUGUAAACUUCUAUCAGCAGGGAAGAAGAUGACGGUACCUGACUAAGAAGCCCCGGCUAACUACGUGCCAGCAGCCGCGGUAAUACGUAGGGGGCAAGCGUUAUCCGGAUUUACUGGGUGUAAAGGGAGCGUAGACGGUGAAGCAAGUCUGAUGUGAAAACCCGGGGCUCAACUCCGGGAUUGCAUUGGAAACUGUUUUACUUGAGUGCUGGAGGGGCAAGCGGAAUUCCUGGUGUAGCGGUGAAAUGCGUAGAUAUCAGGAAGAACACCGGUGGCGAAGGCGGCUUGCUGGACAGUAACUGACGUUGAGGCUCGAAAGCGUGGGGAGCAAACAGGAUUAGAAACCCUAGUAUCC